rfam:Salmo salar isolate Sally breed double haploid chromosome ssa02, whole genome shotgun sequence.
UGAAUUCACUACUGUAAGUCGCUUUGGAUAAGAGCGUCUGCUAAAUGACUAAAA